GAGUAGUCUAGUGGUUCCUCUAUUUCUUACCGGCAAGCAGAGCAACGACGACACCUUUCUCCUUUCAUCUCUAGUCGACGGCGACGACUAGAUCGUGACCGGCAAGCUUCUAGCGACGAAGUUUCCUCCCGCGGUGGUUGGACCAAAAGCAGUUGCGGCGGCUGGACCUCCUUCGGUGAGCAGCGGCUAUGGGCGGUGGAGGUUCGCGGUGUUGUGACUUGAGCUGUGGUUGCCGGUAGUGUGGUGUGGUUAGGAGGGGUGGUGUCGAAGCUUCCCUUUUCCGGCAAAGUUGUGGACGAAGCUGAGGUGAGGUUCUUGUUGAAGUGACUAACUUAUAAGUUGAGCCUAGAUUGGGUGCUGGCUUUGAGAGCUUAGCUUGAGGCACAGAUGAUUAGCCACCGGAGCGCACUAGAGGACCUCGGCUUAGAUAGUUAGUCUUUUUUUUCGGCCUGCGUGCCUUGAUGAU